GGGGAAUAUUGCACAAUGGGCGCAAGCCUGAUGCAGCCAUGCCGCGUGUGUGAAGAAGGCCUUCGGGUUGUAAAGCACUUUCAGCGAGGAGGAAGGGUUCAGUGUUAAUAGCACUGUUCAUUGACGUUACUCGCAGAAGAAGCACCGGCUAACUCCGUGCCAGCAGCCGCGGUAAUACGGAGGGUGCAAGCGUUAAUCGGAAUUACUGGGCGUAAAGCGCACGCAGGCGGUUUGUUAAGUCAGAUGUGAAAUCCCCGCGCUUAACGUGGGAACUGCAUUUGAAACUGGCAAGCUAGAGUCUUGUAGAGGGGGGUAGAAUUCCAGGUGUAGCGGUGAAAUGCGUAGAGAUCUGGAGGAAUACCGGUGGCGAAGGCGGCCCCCCUGGACAAAGACUGACGCUCAGGUGCGAAAGCGUG
rnacentral:rRNA from 1 species